UCGUCAGGUGGGAUAAUCCUUACCUGUUCCUUCUUAGUUUUUAAGUGAAGGUGUUUCCUUUUCCACCAUAGGCCUCAAAGCGCUCCCAAUGUCAACCUGCAGAUACUAUAAAAAGAGUUUUUCCAAACUGCU
rnacentral:snoRNA from 10 species